rnacentral:misc_RNA from 1 species
GCAAACAUCUGUUGCUAUUGUUGACAAAGACGGCAAGUUGAUUGGUGAGAUCUCACCAUACAUACUUAAUUCUUGCGACGAGUCUGUGGCUGCUGCAAUUGCUACGCUCUCUGCUGGGGAUUUUAUGGCUUAUAUAGACUGUGGUGACCCACCAGAGGACCUGAUACGUUUGGUUAAGGAAAGACUGGAAGAAAGGAAUUUAGGUGAAGCUCUGGAGUUGCUGGAAGAAGAAUCAGGAAUUUCGCCAUCCUCAUCUUGUUCAUCAUAUUCAUCUUCAUCUGAUGAGGAGUUUGGACUAGGAAGGAGUGGGAGGUUUGGUGGGCAUUCAUCAAGAUUGGUGAGGAGUACUGAUGCAACUGUGUGCUUUCCAUGGAGCUCUUUAGUGGCAGUAAUGAUUCAGGCACUUUCUCAUCGUGUGAGUUAUGUAUGGGUUGUUGAAGAGGAUGGCACUUUGGUUGGAGUUGUUACCUUCUCAGGAAUGAUGAAAGUUUUUCGGGAACGUUUGAAGUCAAUGAUAUAGAGAUUCAAAACAAUACCAGAGACGAACUGCCAAAAAUAUGUUGAAAACAAACAUUCCUUUAUUAGAAGGAUUCUUAUUUUCGGUUUUUUUUAGUUUCUUUUGAAAGAGAGGAUUAUACUUUCUUCAUUUUUAGUUCUACGAGUACUGUUAGGUUUGAAGUAGUUAUGAAAAUGAUGGAGCUUGUAUCGUAU